AACGAACGCUGGCGGCAUGCCUAACACAUGCAAGUCGAACGAGACCUUCGGGUCUAGUGGCGCACGGGUGCGUAACGCGUGGGAACCUGCCCUUAGGUUCGGAAUAACUCCCCGAAAGGGGUGCUAAUACCGGAUAAUGUCUUCGGACCAAAGAUUUAUCGCCUUUGGAUGGGCCCGCGUUGGAUUAGCUAGUUGGUAGGGUAAAAGCCUACCAAGGCGACGAUCCAUAGCUGGUCUGAGAGGAUGAUCAGCCACACUGGGACUGAGACACGGCCCAGACUCCUACGGGAGGCAGCAGUGGGGAAUAUUGGAAAAUGGGCGGAAGGCUGAUCCAGCAAUGCCGCGUGAGUGAUGAAGGCCUUAGGGUUGUAAAGCUCUUUUACCCGGGAUGAUAAUGACAGUACCGGGAGAAUAAGCUCCGGCUAACUCCGUG
rnacentral:rRNA from 1 species